rnacentral:tRNA from 1 species
GGGCACAUGGUGUAGUUGGUUAUCACAUCCGCUUAGCAUUCGCUUGACUUUGCGGGGGGUGCUGGGUUCAAUUCCCAGUGUGUCCA